rnacentral:misc_RNA from 1 species
GAUGAAGAACGUAGCGAAAUGCGAUAAGUAAUGUGAAUUGCAGAAUCCAGUGAAUCAUCUAAUCUUUGAACGCACAUUGCGCCCGCCAGCAUUCUGGCGGGCAUGCCUGUUCGAGCGUCAUUUCAACCCUCGACCUCCCUUUGGGGAAGUCGGCGUUGGGGACCGGCAGCACACCGCCGGCCCUGAAAUGGAGUGGCGGCCCGUCCGCGGCGACCUCUGCGUAGUAAACCAACUCGCACCGGAACCCCGACGUGGCCACGCCGUAAAACACCCAACUUCUGAACGUUGACCUCGAAUCAGGUAGGACUACCCGCUGAACUUAAGCAUAUCAAUAAGCGGAGGA